rnacentral:misc_RNA from 1 species
GAUGAAGAACGUAGCGAAAUGCGAUACUUGGUGUGAAUUGCAGAAUCCCGUGAACCAUCGAGUCUUUGAACGCAAGUUGCGCCCGAAGCCACUAGGCCGAGGGCACGCCUGCCUGGGCGUCACACGUCGUUGCCCCCCCCCCAUCUACUCCUUCGGGAUUGCGGGGGGCGGAUGAUGGCCUCCCGUGCGCCUAGCCGCGCGGUUGGCAUAAAUACCAAGUCCUCGGCGACGCACGCCACGACAAUCGGUGGUUGCGAAACCUCGGUUGCCCGUCGUGUGCGUUCGUCGCGCAUCGAGGGCUCGAAAAUAUGCUCGGCUCCGGCUCGGCUUUCAACGCGACCCCAGGUCAGGCGGGGUUACCCGCUGAAUUUAAGCAUAUCAAUAAGCGGAGGA